AGUCGAGCGGAAACGACAUUAUUGAUUCUUCGGAGGAUUUAAUGGGCGUCGAGCGGCGGACGGGUGAGUAAUGCCUAGGAAAUUGCCUUGAUGUGGGGGAUAACCAUUGGAAACGAUGGCUAAUACCGCAUAAUGCCUACGGGCCAAAGAGGGGGAUCUUCGGACCUCUCGCGUCAAGAUAUGCCUAGGUGGGAUUAGCUAGUUGGUGAGGUAAUGGCUCACCAAGGCGACGAUCCCUAGCUGGUCUGAGAGGAUGAUCAGCCACACUGGAACUGAGACACGGUCCAGACUCCUACGGGAGGCAGCAGUGGGGAAUAUUGCACAAUGGGCGAAAGCCUGAUGCAGCCAUGCCGCGUGUAUGAAGAAGGCCUUCGGGUUGUAAAGUACUUUCAGUUGUGAGGAAGGGUGUGUAGUUAAUAGCUGCGCAUCUUGACGUUAGCAACAGAAGAAGCACCGGCUAACUCCGUGCCAGCAGCCGCG
rnacentral:rRNA from 1 species